GGAGAGGUGGCCGAGUGGCUGAAGGCGCUCCCCUGCUAAGGGAGUAUGCGUUAAUCCGCAUCGAGGGUUCGAAUCCCUCCCUCUCCGCCA
rnacentral:tRNA from 1 species